GUAUUCCUCAGUGCAUUGGUUAAUGCGGUUUCAUAGUCAGUAAUGAUGUUUGUUGCUUGAAUACCGCCUGGAAUAAGAUCCCUUACUUAUUCAAGCACGCACCGGUACGCGAUCUCGGUCUUCCUUGUCAUCAACACAAAUGCAACCGGAAAAGCCUAAGCGAAAUGAAAACCACUGCUUCGCCAGCUUCUACACCUCCAUCUAUGUAGCCCCUAUACAACUCCUCGUUGCUAGACGUUAAAAAUAGAUGCCGGUACCUCGGGUCGGACAAAUUGCCCGCAUAUCCCAAGAAAGUCUGGGGUAUCGAUGGCUGAGCCUCGGCCCUGGCCCGUUCCAUAGUUCGCAAGAAGCUGGUGUACGCCAAUUGAGUGUUAACAUGGUUUAAUCUAAGUAUAGAAUAUGUAGGUAUUACUGUGUUAUUUCUUCAUCAUAAAUGACUUUAAGACUGGUCAAUUCUGUUGAACAACGAUGAAGAAUUUGGCUUUUUACACGUACAGCGGACAAAUAUUCCAUAUCAGGAUCAUGAUUAUGAAGUCCGAUCACCUCAAAUCUAUCAUUCCUGAUAAGUCUUUUAUAUAAUAAAAAAAUUACAAUAUCGUGUUAAGAAGAGUUUAAUGUUAUAAACUGUUUUCAGCCUUAAGAGGAUUAAAAGCGGACUGGUUUUUUCGAAGUUUUAGACCUAAGAUCCUGACAAAAUUACGCCUACGUAGAAUGUCCAAUUUGAAUUUUAUAUAAAAAAUGUCAAGU